UACAGAGGUCUCAAGCGUUGUUCGGAUUCAUUGGGCGUAAAGGGUGCGUAGGCGGCGCGGUAAGUCGGGUGUGAAAUCUUGGAGCUUAACUCCGAAACUGCAUUCGAUACUGCCGUGCUUGAGGACUGGAGAGGAGACUGGAAUUUACGGUGUAGCGGUGAAAUGCGUAGAUAUCGUAAGGAAGACCAGUGGCGAAGGCGGGUCUCUGGACAGUUCCUGACGCUGAGGAGCGAAAGUGUGGGGAGCAAACAGG
rnacentral:rRNA from 1 species